rnacentral:rRNA from 1 species
AUUGAACGCUAGCGGGAUGCCUUACACAUGCAAGUCGAACGGAGUGGCGAACGGGGGAGGAAUGUAUCGGAACGUGCCCAUUAGCGGGGGAUAACUACGCGAAAGCGUAGCUAAUACCGCAUACUCUUGGAGCGGCCGAUAUCGGAUUAGCUUGUUGGUGGGGUAGCGGCUAACCAAGGCGACGAUCCGUAGCUGGUUUGAGAGGACGACCAGCCACACUGGGACUGAGAAACGGCCCAGACUCCUACGGGAGGCAGCAGUGGGGAAUUUUGGACAAUGGGGGAAAGCCUGAUCCAGCCAUCCCGCGUGUGGGAAGAAGGCCUUCGGGUUGUAAAGUACUUUUGGCAGGAAAGCGGUACCUGCAGAAUAAGCACCGGCUAACUACGUGCCAGCAGCCGCGGUAAUUC